AAAUUGAAGAGUUUGAUCAUGGCUCAGAUUGAACGCUGGCGGCAGGCCUAACACAUGCAAGUCGAGCGGAAACGAGUUAUCUGAACCUUCGGGGAACGAUAACGGCGUCGAGCGGCGGACGGGUGAGUAAUGCCUAGGAAAUUGCCCUGAUGUGGGGGAUAACCAUUGGAAACGAUGGCUAAUACCGCAUAAUGCCUACGAGCCAAAGAGGGGGACCUUCGGGCCUCUCGCGUCAGGAUAUGCCUAGGUGGGAUUAGCUAGUUGGUGAGGUAAUGGCUCACCAAGGCGACGAUCCCUAGCUGGUCUGAGAGGAUGAUCAGCCACACUGGAACUGAGACACGGUCCAGACUCCUACGGGAGGCAGCAGUGGGGAAUAUUGCACAAUGGGCGCAAGCCUGAUGCAGCCAUGCCGCGUGUGUGAAGAAGGCCUUCGGGUUGUAAAGCACUUUCAGUCGUGAGGAAGGUAGUGUAGUUAAUAGCUGCAUUAUUUGACGUUAGCGACAGAAGAAGCACCGGCUAACUCCGUGCCAGCAGCCGCGGUAAUACGGAGGGUGCGAGCGUUAAUCGGAAUUACUGGGCGUAAAGCGCAUGCAGGUGGUUUGUUAAGUCAGAUGUGAAAGCCCGGGGCUCAAC
rnacentral:rRNA from 1 species